UACGAAGGGGGCUAGCGUUGCUCGGAAUCACUGGGCGUAAGGGGUGCGUAGGCGGGUCUUUAAGUCAGGGGUGAAAUCCUGGAGCUCAACUCCAGAACUGCCUUUGAUACUGAGGAUCUUGAGUUCGGGAGAGGUGAGUGGAACUGCGAGUGUAGAGGUGAAAUUCGUAGAUAUUCGCAAGAACACCAGUGGCGAAGGCGGCUCACUGGCCCGAUACUGACGCUGAGACGCGAAAGCGUGGGGAGCGAACAGG
rnacentral:rRNA from 1 species